rnacentral:misc_RNA from 1 species
CCGUUCGAGCGUCAUUAAAACCACUCAAGCCUGGCUUGGUAUUGGGCGUCGGGAUCUCCUCGCGCCCCAAUUUCGCCGGCGAGACUUUCCGAUCGCGAGCGUUAUGAUAUUCAACUCGCGAAGCAUCUGGCAAUGUUUCCGCCGCUAAACUUCAAUCAAAGGUUGACCUCGGAUCGGGUAGGGAUACCCGCUGAACUUAA